rnacentral:lncRNA from 1 species
GAUUGUUUUCUGCUGGUUGCUUUCUGAAAUUCUACUGGACCUAAUGCAAGACCACUUAAAUUAUCCUAAGACAAUGGAUGUGAACAGGCACUUUUCAAAAGAAGACAUACAUGCAGCCAACAAUCAAAUGAAAAAAAGCUCUACAUUACUGAUCAUUAGAGAAAUGCAAAUCAAAACCACACAAAAGAUGAUCAAGAGGAGCAUGAAAAAAUCCCCUGAAUCCAUUGGCUUUCUUCCCUAUACUGACAACAGUUUACUUGUGUAAGAGAUGCAUGCCUCGACUCCGGACCCCUUCUUUCAUCUGCAAAAUCAGCAGCACCCUCACAUCAUCUCCUGUAACAAACUCUCUCUGUCUCCUCCAUAUAAGGUCACUGAUGGUUACAUUUAGGGUCCAUGAUAUAAGGCCCUCUCCAGGGUGCCUGAGUUUGUUGUUUCAUCACAGAAUUACACGGAAGAGACUGGAAAGAUAACUCUUCAAAUGUCAAAUCAUUCCCCUAUAAAAAAUUUUGCCACAGCUGUUGAAAUAUGGCCUUAGGGUUUAUGACAGAAUUUGAACCAGCCCCAUGGAAAAUGCAUCUUGACUCUGCUUUUAUUCCUUUCCCUGCUGAGCUCCUAAUAGAAGAUGGAUGUCUAUUGCUUUUCUCUUGAUAUUCAUGGCACUGCUCCUCUCCAUCCAUAGGAUUAUCUUAUAGAUGAGGGUCUCAUCCUUUUGCCCAGGCUGGAGUACAGUGGUGUGUAUGUAGCACACUGCAGCCUUCAACUCCUGAUCCUCCAACCUCAGCCUCCACAGUUGCUGGGAUUACAAGUUCAAGUUGGUGUGUAUCUGCAAAGGCGAUGGAAAGGAGUUCUUACAUAUGCAUAUUCUGAAGAAGGAUGUUACCCUUACUGAAAAACUUAUUCCAAGAUAUGUUUAAUCAAUCAUGAGAAAAAUAAAGAGACAUCCUUAUGAAUGGAGAAUAAAGUCCUCAGGGUUUUUUUCUAAUUCCCCAUGUGAAUGAAGAGCUGUGUUAUUCUAAAUAUAGUGUUUGUCAUAAGGCAAUUGUGUUGGUUUGAGUCCUUAGUCGCUGUGACACUGAUAGAAUUCCUAUCUCCAAUUGGAAGGUAAGUUGACCUUGCCUCACUUUUGGGCAUUUACAAAGUAAAAGUGUCUUCAUAUUCCAG